ensembl:lncRNA
GUUCGAAUGAAAUCUUUUAGCCGCACGCUGCUGAAUUCGCACCCCCCCUAUUCGCUUAAGCCGGUUGUACCUUCCCGAGCCCGUCGUUUUAGGAGCGGUGUUGCUGACUGGAGUAACGUUACCAAUUUACCACGGCGAACUGAGCAAAAACGUGACGGUGGACCCACUGACCCUCGACGCAUGUUGUUUUUAGACCGAUAACUCGACGUGACCUAAAGCAUUUUAAUCAUGCGAUUGCUGAUUCAUAAAACCUGGAACCAGAACUGGAAGAUAGGGGAGUUGGCGGUGGUUCCAUCUAAACAUUAAUGUUUAAUAUUGUGGAAUGGUAUUUAUUCUAUUGCUAACAGGGCGGGGGUGGAAGACUCCCGCACCUCGCCACCCUGAACCAUGAACCGAACCAUGGAGGCUGACACGCCGAAAGGUCAACCACGAGAGAAUGAAACUUCCAACAUCAUGGAUGAAAUCCCUCCAUGGGUGCGGUUUGGCGGGCAGGACUUGGGUGUUUCCUUUUUUCUCAUGGACGACAUGGCCACGCCGCAGAAAGCUGGGACCAGCAUGCUGAAUUCACUCCUCCGGUCAUGCAGUAAAAGACCUUCUCUCGAUGUGAGCUCAAAGCUAGGUAGUCCUUUCAAUGGAGACAUUGACCCUGAGGACAAAUUUAUAGAUUCCUUCCAGACAUUUCAUUCUGAGAAGUCCGUUCUGGGAUUAAACUCAACAGAAACUGCAGAUUGUGGUGUGAGCAUAAACAUCAGCUCCUGUAUUCCCAAAUCAGCCCAGAAAGUUAUGAGUGAAACCCAGUCCAUCAACGUCUCCAUCAAAACCAAUGGAAACGACACAAAGGAAGAUGUGCGCUUGGGUGCUCAGUUGAGUUCAGACGAUGUUUUGAUCCCUGCUGAUAUUCCAAAUGAAGACGUGAACUUUGCUGGUCAGUUCAGGGCAACUGCUGCUGUGGCCAACGCCAGUAUCCCAGACAGCAACAUGAGCUUAGGGGCUCAGUUGAAUUCAACCACUGUACUGACCAAAGGCCAUGUCACAUAUGAAGGUGCUCAGUUGAAUUCCACUGCUGUUGUGAGCAAUGCAAAUCUCACAAGUGUAGAUGCAAAAAUAGUCCUUCCUCUGAAUUCGACUGCCAGUCUGACCAGCGACCACAUCUCCAAUGGGGAGGUGAACGUAGAUGUUCCUCUGAAUUCGACUGCCGAUCUGACCAGCGACCGUAUCUCCAAUGGGGAGGUCAACGUAGCUGUUCCUCUGAAUUCGACUGCCGAUCUGACCAACGAUCGUAUCUCCAAUGGGGAGGUGAACGUAGAUGUUCCUCUAAAUUCGACUGCCGAUCUGACCAGCGAUCGUAUCUCCAAUGGGGAGGUGAACGUAGAUGUUCCUCUAAAUUCGACUGCCGAUCUGACCACUGACCGUGUCUCAAAUGUAGACAUUAAUGUAAGUGAUCCUCUUAAUUUGACUGCAGAUCUGACCAGUGACCGCAUCGCAAGUGUAGAUGUGGACGUAGGUGCUCCGUUGAAUUCAACCGCUGUUAUCGCCAAUGAAAAGAACCCAAAUACAGAUGCUUUGUUGAAUUCCUCUCGGAUAAUCCCUGAAAGGAGAAGUGCCGAAGCUAAGGGUCGUUCCUCUUUAUCAAACAUCAGAGGUCCCCGUAUUGAUGCUCUUGAGACUAUAAGUGAGAUUCCAAUUAUAGCCGGUUCCCAUAGUACUCUUCAACAAUCCAUGAGAUCCAUCAGCAGCAGCCUCGUCAGUCUAGAGGACACUUUUGAAAGUAAAUCAAGCUUUUCUGCGACCUCCACUCCCAUGGUCAAGCAGAAUAUCUUCAGAUUUGGGGCAGUAAGAAAACCAUCUUACAAUGCCCUGAAGAAGCUGUCUGUAAACACAACUGAAAACUCCAGAGAUGACACCGCUAACUCUGGCACAAGUAAAGACUGUAGUAGUGUGCAGGCGUCUGAAGAGUCCAUGAAAGAUGUCACUAGGGACUGUGGAACCCCACAAACGGGGACCUCGGGGGCUCCACAGUCUGUUCCAGCAAAGAAUGAGCAGAAUAUUAAGUCCACUUUUAUAAAGACUAGCAUUUUGAAGGCCAACACUACUACCACCAUUGCUACAAUUCCCAACACAUGUAAUGUGACCUCAGGUGAAAAGAUCAGAGCCAACCUGUCUUUGACUUCUCCUUAA